UACGUAGGGGGCAAGCGUUGUCCGGAAUCACUGGGCGUAAAGGGCGCGUAGGCGGUGCCAGCAGUCGAUGGUGAAAACUCGGGGCUCAACUCCGAGCUUGCAGUCGAUACGGGCAGGCUAGAGUUCGGCAGGGGAGACUGGAAUUCCUGGUGUAGCGGUGAAAUGCGCAGAUAUCAGGAGGAACACCGGUGGCGAAGGCGGGUCUCUGGGCCGAUACUGACGCUGAGGAGCGAAAGCGUGGGGAGCGAACAGG
rnacentral:rRNA from 1 species